AUGAAUCUAAUCAGUUGGAACUGCCGGGGUGAGGGGAAUCCCCGGACAGUUCAUGAACUAGCGACUUUGGUUAAGUCGCAUUCCCCCAGUGUCGUGUUCUUAUGUGAAACGAGACAGAAGGAAGCAAAGAUGAGAAGAAUUCGUGGAAGGCUGGGACUACAAGGUUUUGCCGGUGUAGAUUGUGUUGGCAUGAGUGGAGGGCUAGCCUUGUACUGGCAUGAGUCCUAUAUAGUAGAAGUAAUGGACAAAGAUGAUCGAUAUAUUGAUGCCCUUGUCAGAGUUCAAUAG
rnacentral:rRNA from 1 species